UCCUAUUAAAGGUGGUAUUAGAUUGUCCUUUAUUAAUAUCUCAAUCCAUUUUAUUUAUUGGUCACAUAAUCCAAAUUUUCAAUUUAAUCUAUCAUACAUUUUUUCUAUGUCAAGUUUAAUGAUCAUAUUACCUCUCAAUAUUUUAUGGUUUAUCGAUUGUGUCAUCUCUUGUACUAGGGCUAUGUUUUCCUAUCUUACUCUCAUUUUCACAAAAGCUUGUUUCUCAUAUAUGAUUAUUGGAAGGAUGUCUCGACAUUCUACUAUUCAUUAGUUUGAAGAUUAUCUUAUACCUUACAUUGUAG
rnacentral:lncRNA from 1 species